GCUAAGGAGGCAAAACAAUCGCAUGAGUGCUGCUGUUUGACUGAGGAAGAAUAAAGUAGUCGUGACAUGGAGAAGAAGUGGGAAGAGAUUUACACGUUCAUUUCUGCGGACUCCUACCCUUCAGGAUAUGACAAGUCUCAGAGGCAAAACCUCAGAAGAUAUGCCUCAAAAUUCAAACAAAGGGAUGGAGAACUCUUUGUCGGAACCAGAAGAGUAGUAAAAACCGUGGAUGAUGCCAGGAAGAUAUUUCAUGAGUUUCAUUCAUCUCCAAUUGGAGGACACACUGGCAUACACAAAACGCUAAAUGCAGUGUGUUCCAGAUUUUACUGGUUUGAUUCUGGAAUGUGACCAGUGUCAACAAGUUGGGAAACCACUGACUGCUGUGCAACCGUUGCAGUGCAUUCAGGUGUUUGAUGUGUGGGAACUUAUUGGUAUAGAUCUUACUGGACCUCUUCCAAAAACUUCAAGCGGCUUCCAGUAUAUACUUACUGCAACUGACUACUUUUCUAAAUGGGUUGAAGCUUUCCCAUUAAACGAAAUCUGCAUCUGAGGUAGCCCAGCACUUGUGCUCCAUUAUAUAUAGACAUAGCUGCCCCAAAAGGAUUUUGUCAGACCAAGGCAGAGAGUUUGUGAAUGAACUCAACUCUGAUCUUUGCAAGUUAUUGCAAAUUGAAAGAAGUGUAACAGCAGCAUACCAUCCACAGACCAAUGGUCUAGAUGAAAAGACCAACGACAACAUAAAAAGAGCCCUCUGAAAACUGGUGAAUGACCAGCAGAAUAACUGGGAUGUGUAUCUAGAUCCCACCCUGUUUUCACUGCGGUCAAAAGUACACACCACAACAAAAUACACACCUUUUUUUGUUAUGUAUGUAAGAGAGGCAGUAUUUCCAUCAGAAGUGCCUGCUCAAGUGCCGAUUUCCAACAUCAUUCUGCCAGACGACAAAAGGUACAGUGACUAUGUACAGUCUGAAAGUGAAGCACAACAUGCAGUUAAAGAAACUGCACAAGAAAACAUAGCAAAGUCACAAGACAAGCAAAAGGUUGCAUCGCCAAGCGGGCCCUGAAAAAGUACAAAAAUGUUGUGUACAACGUAGGGGAUCAAAUUCUGCUUCUAAAUAUGAGGAAACGUGGGCGAAAAGGAGGAAGACUUGAACCGGAUUUUUCAGGUCCCUACACAAUUGAUGACAUCAGUGGAAAAUGUGUUAGACGGAAAAACGCUGAGGGAAAUACUUUAAAAAGUCUAUACAGUAUUGACCACAUUAAACCCUAUAGAAGAAGCCACCCUGUCCAAGUCUCAACUCCAACUCAACCUGUUGAGAGUAGCCCAACUUCUGAGAUGUGGCCUUGCAGUCCUCAGCAUCAUCAUGAAGUGCUGCAAAAUAACAGACCCUCUGUCAUACAGUUUCCACCAAAAAUAGCUCAGGUAAAAUCAGUCCAAGCACCAGAAGAGCUUGUACCAGUGACCCCCCCAGAAACCCAGCAUGCAAGAAAAAGGUGGCAUAGCUAAAAAUGUCAUUUUGACCGGUUGGUCAAUUGUUGCCAGUUUGGCUAGUUGAAUGGAUAGAAUGUUUUAUUUUCAUCUCCCCUCUUGCUAAUUUUGACCUGUUGGUCAAAUUUUGGCUAAUUUCUGAUUUAUAGAAAGCGGCUCCCCUCUGGCAUGUUUAUUUUGUUGGCUCAUUGGCCCUUGUCUGCUUGUGGCCCGUUGGCCAUUGACCGUGAUUUUCAAAUGGAAACUGUUAUUACUAAAGAAACUUAUCAUAUUUUGUUUUUUAGUGAAGUGGCUUUGGGCUGCAAAAGACACCGGGCGUGUGGAGGCAGUCGUUGGGCCAUACAAAUUGUAUGACUCUUCUUUUCGCACACUGGAGGACAGUGGGUGGCUUUCUGAUGAGGUCAUUGAUGCAUACCUGCACUGCCUCAUUAGGAAACAAAA